UACGUAGGGUGCAAGCGUUAAUCGGAAUUACUGGGCGUAAAGCGUGCGCAGGCGGUUGUGCAAGACAGAUGUGAAAUCCCCGGGCUUAACCUGGGAAUUGCAUUUGUGACUGCACGGCUAGAAUCUGGCAGAGGGGGGUAGAAUUCCACGUGUAGCAGUGAAAUGCGUAGAGAUGUGGAGGGAUACCGAUGGCGAAGGCAGCCCCCUGGGCUAAGAUUGACGCUCAUGCACGAAAGCGUGGGGAGCAAACAGG
rnacentral:rRNA from 1 species